UUGUCCUGUACCCCAGACCGAUGUUACCAUUCGGAACCAUAGUAGUUAAAAAGGUGAAUUUGGAUAAGAUGUGGUGAAUAAAUGAACUCGUAGAACAUCAGACAUCGUGCUCGAAAAGUGUAGCCAUGGAAAGUGUCUACAUGAUAGGUGAGGGAUAUGUGUGAUAGGCUCUAUUCUUAACUAAAGGGUUAGACUUUUAGAUUAUUAGUAGACAGCUAAGCUGUUUUGUCGUUUAAUCCAUUUUUAGGACUUUGGUUUUUGGUUUUGCUUUUAGUCAAACCCUAGAAGCUCAUGCGCUACUCUACUACAUGUGAACUAAUCUUAUCAUAUUUUGUUAUCUUUUUAGUUACGUGUGCAUUUAGGCUUAGAGAAGAUAAAUAAAUGAAAAUUGGGGGCUAUAGAUAUGAAAAAAGAUAACACACAGACUAGCGGUUUUACCUAACGGAUAUAUAUACGGCUUCAUAUGUACAUAAUAAUACUGUCAUACCCUUGCCAAUUAACCGGCUAACCUGCUAGAAGAUAAAUAAACAAAAAAUAAAAAUUUUACUGCCCAAAGUAAUUCGUUUCUUCUUCCUUUCCACACAACUUCUCCUUCUCACUUUCUUCGUCGGUAGUUUCUGGAACUCGAAAGGACCCUGCCGCUGAUCUCCUCCAACGGCUCGCCUCUGAAUGCAAUCAACUUUUCAUCUCCAUCGUCUUCCCUUGUAAUCGUCUUCGGCUUUACGGGCUCGGUGGUUCUGUUUUGUGUUACGGUUUCGGCGGAGGGGAGUAACACCGCCGGCAUCUCCAACUUCAUAGAGUAGCAGUUUUCUCAGAUCUUUGACAACGUCGUAAGUUCUUUCGCUUUCUGCUUCGUCUCUGUUUCUCUGAUUUUUUUUUCGACUUGUCAAAAUUAGGGUUUUUAAUUGUUAAGUCUGUAGCAUCGUUCCUGUUGGAAACCAUUGUUCCGGUUAUUGAAUUCCAUCGUCGCAGAUCGGACUUUCUCAAAUUGAUUUAGGGUUCGAAUUUUCCCGAGUUGUGUGAGGGUUUCUUAAAUUUAAAUUGUUUCAUAUCGAUGAUGCAAACUAUGUGGUGUAGUAAAUUAUACGAAGAUGUGUAGAAUAUCAUUGCUUAGAAU
rnacentral:lncRNA from 1 species